AGACACUACAAGCAAAAACUUCAAAAUCAAAGGACUUGACGGUGUUGCACACCAACCUAGAGGAGCCUGUCCCAUAAUCGAUAACCCACGCUCCACCUUACCCCCCCUAGCCCGCCGCCUAUAUACCGCCGUCGCCAGCCUACCUCUUGAAAGAACAGCCGUAAGCAAAACGAGCCCUCCCUCAGCACGUCAGGUCAAGGUGUAGCUAAUGGGGAGGAUAAAAGAUGGGCUACACUCUCUUCACCAAGAGCCAACCACCAGCCCAAUGAAACUCAAGCUAUAAAGCUGGAUUUAGCAGUAACCUCAGAAAGAAAGCUGAGCUGAAACAAGCGCUGCAACACGCACACACCGCCC
rnacentral:rRNA from 1 species